GGAGAACAGAUUUUUGGUUAUGGUCAUUCGUGACUUGCUGAAUUUAUGCGAAAUCACAAAAGGGAAGGAUAACAAAGCUGUCGUCGCAAGUAACAUUAUGUAUGUUGUUGGACAGUACCCGAGGUUUCUAAGAGCUCACUGGAAGUUCCUAAAAACUGUUGUGAACAAAUUGUUUGAGUUCAUGCAUGAGACACAUCCUGGUGUUCAGAGUUAAAUUGUUUGACAAUAAGAAGAGAUUAACAGUUGUAGGCUUUAAAAAAUUUCAGAGCAACAUCAUGAGGAGGUUUUCCUUGGAAACCUGAGGAGAUUUCAAUUUAGAGAGCUUCAGAUGGCAACAAACAAC